UAAAGGCUGCAAAAUGGGGAGUGAACGUACACUGAUAUGCCCCAUUACAUGCUACAGCCCCACACCUGUCUUUACAUACAACCACGUGUUGGCUGUAAGUAAGCACGAUAAAAAUCAAAGAAAUAAGAACUUAUUGUUACUGUCCUGAGCAUCUUUUGUAAGACUGACUUCAGGAAAAGCUGCAGUUACAGGAGUCUAUAGUGUGAACCCCCCCUGGUUUGGCUGUGGCAGGACCUGCAAAGAUCAGUGACAUGACAUGUGAAGAGGCACCCGGGAUCUGCAUCUUAAAGACUCGCGAAUUGUUGUCAAAGGCCCAGUUGCUGAUGCGUGACAUAGAGGAGCUGCUGGACAGCUGUACACCAAAGGGUCCCUCUGUUCAGAGACAGCGCAGAAUGAUUCAGCAGGACUGUCAGGCCAACAUAAAGGAGGAUGGAGAGACCUUGGUCAUAGAGGACUUCAGGUUUGACAGUGUGGUCAGCAGGGAAGACCUGAGGAGGCUGUGAUAACAGGCUGGUGGAGGAGCAGGAGAGCGACACAUGAGUGAUGGCUACUUUAGUGGUUUCAUCACACAAAGUCAACAAGGUCAAACGACUGGGAGAGGUAACAAUGGCAGAUAGAGAGCCAACAUAUGACAUGAUUUCAAAUGGUGGGAGAACAUUGACAUGUAGUUCUUUACAACAGAGAGACAAAGCAGUAUGACACCAUGUCAUAUAGACGAUAUAAACAAUUUUUACAGUAGAUAAAUGUUCCAACUGUUCAUAAAUGUUAAUGUUAGACAUGAGUUAUUUGUUCAUUGUUCUGUUUUUGAUCUUGAAGAACACAGUUUGUCAUAUUUUUGGCAGCGUUUGAGUUUCCAUUUCAGAAUAUGAACCUACAGUUGGCUUUGAGUGUUGUUUUUAUGAUAAUGCUACAGUAUAAAGCAGGGAAUAUUAUAAGUUAUAGAUAGAAUGCCAUUGUUUAGGCUAAUGGUGAUGUCUUUGCAUUAUUUAUUCCACUUCCGUUAGUCUUGUCCAACCCUGCGUAGCACAUUUUGCAGUUUCAGCAGCGUGAUCCGAAUGCAACAGCAGCUCACAUCCAGUUAUGCCUUUAUUUCAUUUAACGUUGUUGCUUUUAACUACAGUGUGGGUCACGCACAGCUUGAAUGUCCUGUUUACAAUAAUACACUGUAGGUAAGAUGGGGACAUAGCUUUCUCUCUGAUUACACAGAGCUGUUGGGCUAUUCCUGUUUGUACCCUACUGUAGAUCAUCUCGCUCCCUAAAAGCACCGCUAGUGCUCUAACUACAGUAAAGUUUCACAGCCCACCAUGCUUUUUAGUGCAGUAGUCCUGAAGAAAAACAGCGAUAUAAAUACACAUGACAGAACUAUACUUUGGUCUCGAAGAAGUCUUUGAAUAACUUAAAGUCAAGAUAUUUAAAAGCUCAUAAAUCGACUACACUGCAUUGGGGGGUGACUUUUUAAUUUAGUCUGUUCCUCUUUAAUAUGCUGCUCUUCCUCACUCCUCUACAGUGUGUCCUGAUAGGUCAGGUAGAUUAUUCAUCGUGUCUUUACUCAUAUGCCGAUUUUGGUGGGAAAACUGGUAUUAUAAAACGAUUUGUGUGACUUCAAAAUGUAUUCAUAAACUUGUGAAACCGCUUGCAUUACAUGAUAGCAUCGAUUCACAGUAUUUGAUACAUGUCAUACUCCAAGUAUUGUGAUACUGUUGUUAUCAGCUCUAAAGGGGAAUAAAAGAUGUCUGGUUAACUUUGCUUUUUCAUAUGUUUUAACCAAAAUUGUAUCUAAAUAAUCUUUCAAAUUUAAUUUCUAGUGCAGACUGUAGCAGAUAUGAAACAAUAGCAAAUGGCCAUCUUAUGAAUGUUGACCCGAAUGUGUCAAGGGGCCCCAAAUGCAGUAUCAGUGAGAACAAU